UAAAUAGCCCGGCUGGCUUCUGCAAGUCGUUGGCUUCUUAGAGGGACUUUUUGCUCAAGCAAAAGGAAGGAGGGCAAUAACAGGUCUGUGAUGCCCUUAGAUGUCCUGGGCUGCACGCGCGCUACACUGACAGAGACAGCGAGUUCAUUCCUUGGCCGAAAGGCUUG
rnacentral:rRNA from 1 species